UACGGAAGGUCCGGGCGUUAUCCGGAUUUAUUGGGUUUAAAGGGAGCGUAGGCGGCCUUUCAAGCGUGUUGUGAAAUGCAGUGGCCCAACCACUGGAUUGCAGCGCGAACUGGGAGGCUUGAGAGCGCACGACGCAGGCGGAAUUUGUGGUGUAGCGGUGAAAUGCUUAGAUAUCACGAAGAACCCCGAUUGCGAAGGCAGCUUGCGGGAGCGCAUCUGACGCUGAAGCUCGAAAGUGCGGGAAUCAAACAGGAUUGGAUACCCUGGUAGUCCGCACGGUAAACGAUGGAUGCCCGUUCUGCGGCCUGAGGGCCGCGGGACCAAGCGAAAGCAUUAAGCAUCCCACCUGGGGAGUACGCCGGCAACGGUGAAACUCAAAGGAAUUGACGGGGGCCCGCACAAGCGGAGGAACAUGUGGUUUAAUUCGAUGAUACGCGAGGAACCUUACCCGGGCUUGAAUUGCAGACUGAUCCGGCAGAGAUGCCGGAGUCCUUCGGGAAGUCUGUGAAGGUGCUGCAUGGUUGUCGUCAGCUCGUGCCGUGAGGUGUCGGCUCAAGUGCCAUAACGAGCGCAACCCCUGUCUCCUGUUGCCAUCAGGUCAAGCUGGGCACACUGGAGAGACUGCCGCCGUAAGGUGUGAGGAAGGUGGGGAUGACGUCAAAUCAGCACGGCCCUUACGUCCGGGGCUACACACGUGUUACAAUGGCCGGUACAGAGCGAGGGUGCCCCGCAAGGUGCAUCAAACCGCGAAAACCGGUCCCAGUUCGGACUGGGGUCUGCAACCCGACCCCACGAAGCUGGAUUCGCUAGUAAUCGCGCAUCAGCCAUGACGCGGUGAAUACGUUCCCGGGCCU
rnacentral:rRNA from 1 species